rnacentral:rRNA from 1 species
UACGGAGGGUGCAAACGUUGCUCGGAAUCAUUGGGCGUAAAGCGAACGUAGGCGGCUAUGUAAGUCGGGUGUGAAAGCCCAGAGCUCAACUCUGGAAGUGCAUUCGAAACUGCAUGGCUUGAGUAGCGGAGAGGAUAGCGGAAUUCCCGGUGUAGAGGUGAAAUUCGUAGAUAUCGGGAGGAACACCAGUGGCGAAGGCGGCUAUCUGGACGCAUACUGACGCUGAAGUUCGAAAGCGUGGGGAGCAAACAGGG